rnacentral:rRNA from 1 species
GACGAACGCUGGCGGCGUGCCUAAUACAUGCAAGUAGAACGCUGAAGAGAGGAGCUUGCUCUUCUUGGAAGAGUUGCGAACGGGUGAGUAACGCGUAGGUAACCUGCCUUGUAGCGGGGGAUAACUAUUGGAAACGAUAGCUAAUACCGCAUAACAAUGGGUGACCCAUGUCAUUCAUUUGAAAGGGGCAACUGCUCCACUACAAGAUGGACCUGCGUUGUAUUAGCUAGUAGGUGAGGUAACGGCUCACCUAGGCGACGAUACAUAGCCGACCUGAGAGGGUGAUCGGCCACACUGGGACUGAGACACGGCCCAGACUCCUACGGGAGGCAGCAGUAGGGAAUCUUCGGCAAUGGGGGCAACCCUGACCGAGCAACGCCGCGUGAGUGAAGAAGGUUUUCGGAUCGUAAAGCUCUGUUGUAAGUCAAGAACGAGUGUGAGAGUGGAAAGUUCACACUGUGACGGUAGCUUACCAGAAAGGGACGGCUAACUACGUGCCAGCAGCCGCGGUAAUACGUAGGUCCCGAGCGUUGUCCGGAUUUAUUGGGCGUAAAGCGAGCGCAGGCGGUUUGAUAAGUCUGAAGUUAAAGGCUGUGGCUCAACCAUAGUUCGCUUUGGAAACUGUCAAACUUGAGUGCAGAAGGGGAGAGUGGAAUUCCAUGUGCAGCGGUGAAAUGCGUAGAUAUAUGGAGGAACACCGGUGGCGAAAGCGGCUCUCUGGUCUGUAACUGACGCUGAGGCUCGAAAGCGUGGGGAGCGAACAGG